AUUAUUACAAUUAAUUACAAAAUCUGUUAAUUGACUCAUCAGUAACUUACAUUAUUGAGUAUCUUCAAAACACCAGAGGGCAACAACCCUCUUUCACAUCAGCGGCAGGGAAUGAGGACAGAUCCAUUUACAGAAAUAAUCUAUUGUUAUUGACCAUGCUUUGUUAUAAAUGCAUGUAUGUGCUGAUACUGUAAUUUUCUUUCUUUUUAAUGCUUCUGCAGGGGAGCACAAAUGAGGCUCUCUACAAGCUGUACAACGUAGCAGCCAAUCACAGGCACCUCUACCACCACGCGUUCCCCGGGGGCGCUCAGGAAGACGAGGCUGCGGAGGAGCCGGUCAGGAAGAGGAACUGAUCACUGAGACAGACUCCAUCAGACACUCUUUUACUCUGGUGUCGGCCCACCAGUACAUCCACUACUCAAAGCUAAUAAGGGACUGUGUAAUGUUCAUGUAAAGGCAGAGCGUGGAGCUCGCCUUCGGCUCUUUUUUUUCCAUGAAAUAUCACCUGUACAGAAGCUCCGGGAUCGUCUUGGCAUAUUCAACCUCCAACAGAAGGUGAUAACUGGGCACAGGCCUGGGAUCCAAAGUGUCAGGGGCCCCCUUACCGUCACCUACGAUAUACUCAAAGAGACAUGCACCAAUCAGAAAGAUACACAAAAUGACUAAAGAGUGACUUUAAAAGACACACAAUUAUCACAAAGUGAUUUAAAUGACCGCAAUAGACACAAAAUGACUAUAAAGACACACAAAAUGCAUACAUUGUGUCACACAUUGACCACAAAGUGACUUCUAAUGACGACAAAAAGAUACAAUCACAACAAAGUAACAUAAGAUUCUUACGAAAAGGCUUAAAAUGAACACAAAAUGAUUAAAAAAAAAGUGAAUCAAUAGGACUACAAAGAGACACAAAAUGAGCACUUAGUGGCUGAACAUGAUUACAAAGAGAGCUUAAUGACCACUAAAAGACCCAAAAUGUCUACAAAAUGACUUAAAAUGACUCCAAAAAAACAUUAUCGCAAGAAGACUUAAAGUGACUAUAAAGACGCGAGGGGGGUUCUUCGCAUGUCCGUGCCCACGGCCCCCUGGCUCCAGUCUGUCGUUGACUUCAUUUCCAACACAUUUUUUUCCCCACCUCAUUCGGCUCCAACGCUGGUUUUCAGAGUAUACUCAGAUGUGUGAAACCCAUUCGUGCCGAUGGUUCUGUUCUUCGGAGUUUAGUGUUGAUCUACCAAACUGUGUACUGUGUGUUAAAAAAACAACGCUCCAUCAGCAUGGUUAGUGUCCGUCCCCUCUGGAGCUCUGAAGCAGGUCGUAAGAUUAUUCAGUUUAAUGGUUGUGACAAAGUGGUUUAGUGUCAUGGAUACGUGUAGACGAUGAUUUCACCGCGGCACUUUGAUUAUGAUUUCUGCAUCAGGGAGAAGUUUACACAUUAUAUUACAAUCUGCUGUUUGUGUGUUUUCUCUUUAAAGCUGAGGGAAUGAGUGUGUCUUGUUUUUUAUUGGAUGUUUGAGCAAAUCUGAGGAAUGUAGCUUUACACAGCUCGUUGUUAUUUUAAUGAUUCCACAUUAGUGACGUUAUAACUGUACCGAUUCCUUUGAGUUUAUACACUUCAAUGUUAAAAGCUUUCCAAUUUUAAGACUUUUUGCAUAAUAUUGCAUCAGCUUCUGCAGGAAUGAGUCCUAAAACCCAGAAAUAAGUCAGCAUUUUAGCACUUCUUGUUCUGUUUGUGCGGAAAUCAAUGGGUUAACUGAAGUAAAAGUAAAAAUACUAUGGUCCUAAAAUACUCCAUUACAAGUCAAACACCUAAAUUCAAGGAUUUACUAAAAGCACAUAAGUAUAAGCAUCAACAUAUAGUAGAAUUAUAUAUAUAUUUAAUUACUAAUAUUAUAAUUAUUUAAGCUUCGUCACACAUGUAGGCAUUUUUUCUGCAGAAUACGUUCCUGAUUAGACGAACUAAAUACACAUGAAUUCUCAUAUAUCUUCUUUUUUUUUAAAUGCUAAUAUAUGAACUAUCUAAUAAUAUCAUUAUAUAUUGUACAUACUAAUAUAUACAAAAAUACGAGGAUGUUUUGGCAGACUGAGUACUUUUACUCGUAGAACCUUAAGGAUAUUUUUCCUGAUUAUAGUUGAAUACUUGUAAUGGAGUAUUUUAAAUGUAUUAGCACUUUUGUGUAAGUAAAAGAUUCUUCCAGCAACACUUUUUUUGCAGCUGCAGAAGAAAGAUGAUAUUUCUUUUUCAGGAUCGCUCUCUGCAAAUUCAGCGAGUCUCUUCUGAUGUUUGAGUCUAUCAGUGUGAAAUAAUCACAUCACAGAAACACCCGUCCAGUCGUAAGGAAAGUAGCAUUAGUUAAUGUUGCACAUGCAUUUAAGAUUUUCAAGAUUGAAUCUGUUAUCAAAGUAUCACUACAAGGUAUUCUUGAUUUACUUCAUUCCUGAAAUCUUCUACGGAUUUGUUGUGUUAGAGCACUGAAAGGUGAAAAACCUCCAAGCUAGUUUUUGAACACGCACUGCAAAACAUCCGUUACAAAUACAUAAAUAAUAAAGUUGGACCAAAUUAAAGAAAA